rnacentral:rRNA from 1 species
AACGAACGCUGGCGGCGUGGAUAAGACAUGCAAGUCGAACGAUCACUACUGAGUAGCAAUAUUUGGUAGUGGGAGUGGCGCAAGGGUGCGUAACACGUGGGUAAUUUGCCGUAAAGUCUGGAAUAACUUGCUGAAAGGCGAGCUAAUACCGGAUGUGAUUGCUGGGGGGCAUCCUCUGGCACUUAAAGUCGGGGACCGCAAGGCCUGACACUUUUCGAUAAGCCCGCGGCCUAUCAACUAGUUGGUGAGG